rnacentral:rRNA from 1 species
AACACAUGCAAGUACGAACGGAGAUUGAGAGCUUGCUCUUAAAUCUUAGUGGCGGACGGGUGAGUAACACGUGAGCAACCUGCCUCUGAGAGAGGAUAGCUUCUGGAAACGGAUGGUAAUACCUCAUAACAUUACAUGACCGCAUGAUCGUGUAAUCAAAGAUUUAUCACUCAGAGGAUGGGCUCGCGUCUGAUUAGCUAGUUGGUGAGGUAACGGCCCACCAAGGCGACGAUCAGUAGCCGGACUGAGAGGUUGAACGGCCACAUUGGGACUGAGACACGGCCCAGACUCCUACGGGAGGCAGCAGUGAGGGAUAUUGCACAAUGGAGGAAACUCUGAAUGCAGCGAUGCCGCGUGGAGGAAGAAGGUUUUCGGAUUGUAAACUCCUGUUUCGAGGGACGAUAAUGACGGUACCUCGGGAGGAAGACUCCGGCUAACUACGUGCCAGCCGCAGC